AUGGUCACGUCAGCAGCACAUAUACUAAAAAUUGGAAUGAUACAGAGAAGAAUAGCAUGGCCUCUGCGCAAGGAUGAUACACAUUUGUGAAGCAUUCUAUAUUUUU